rnacentral:pre_miRNA from 1 species
AAACCUUGCCUGGAUCGGGUUUCGCGGCGAACGGGCUUCCACCAUGAUGAAUAGCAGUUCGUUGUCGACGAAACCUGCACAUUGCAAGGCA